rfam:Pseudomonas mendocina ymp, complete genome.
GGCGCGGUAGCUCAGUCGGAUAGAGCACUCCAUUUCGAUGGAGCCGUCGCAGGUUCGAGUCCUGCCCGCGCCG